AUCUUGGUGGUAGUAGCAAACAUUCAAAUGAGAACAUUGAAGAGUGAAGUGGGGAAAUGUUCCAUGUGAACAUCACUUGGACAUGGGUUAGUCGAUCCUAAGAGAUGAGGAAUCCUUGUAUCAAGGGUGCACUCUGCAUGAACAUCGAAAGAGAAUUGGGUUAAUAUUCCCGAAUCGGGACAUGGUCGUGGAUGGUAAUGUUAGGAAAUAUGGAGAUGUAAUUGAGGGCCUGGGAAGAGUUAUCUUUUAUUUUUAGCAACUUUCCCACCUUGAAUCGGUUCGACCGGAGAUAGGGUCCAACAUCUGGAAGAGAACCACACACCUUGCGGUGUUUGGUGACCCCUUGACGGCCAUUGAAAAUAUGGAGAACCGAGUACCAUCCAUGCCCGAUCAUACUCAUAUAUGCCUCCCUGGAUUUUUCAAUGCCC
rnacentral:ncRNA from 1 species